AGAGUUUGUUGUUGACAACUACCGGUAGCGCUACGACUUUUUCAAGGCGUUCCGAUUUGCGUGCUCUAAUCCACGUCGUAUCCGUAUAAACUCGUGAAAGAGAAAGCAAAAAAUCUCCUACUAAUUCUGUCCACAUUCUGAAGUGUUCAUCAGAUGGGUACAUCUCUCACAGGAGGCCACGACAAACCAUACGGCAAGAUGAUGAUGCUACGUCACAUUGUGGAAAACUGAAUGAUUUAGACAUCUUACAUGUAAGACUUGCAAGGCAAGAAAACAGAGAAAACCUGAAUUCAAAACAUGAAACUGGUGUGUGCAGUGAUGAUGAUAAAGAACAGCAGUGUGCUGAUGAAGGAAAUGUUGAAGAUGCUGUAGUGCCGUGGACAAGACCCUGCAUCCCUCCACCUGCCUGGGUGUCCUUAUCUGAGCCAGAUGUUGGUGUGGUCUCUUCAUCUUUAGUAUGAAUCGGUUUCUCAGGCAUGGACAGCCUUACCUCACAACUCUGUUCCAGUCUGACUGCAGCACUGAGGGAUGUGAUGGCAAAAACAAUUGAAGUCCAGCAUGCAGCAGAACAUGGGGUUUUGUCUGAAAUACAUGAUUGUUUGAAUAAGUUUGAAUAAAGCUUAGUUUUGUAUCUUG
ensembl:processed_transcript